UACGUAGGGAGCAAGCGUUGUCCGGAAUCAUUGGGCGUAAAGAGCGCGUAGGCGGUCCGGUAAGUCGGUUGUGAAAACUGGGGGGCUCAACCCUCAGACGCCGACCGAUACUGUCGGGCUAGAGUCCGGAAGAGGCGAGUGGAAUCCCUGGUGUAGCGGUGAAAUGCGCAGAUAUCAGGAGGAACACCAAUGGCGAAGACAGCUCGCUGGGACGGUACUGACGCUGAGGCGCGAAAGCGUGGGGAGCAAACGGG
rnacentral:rRNA from 1 species